rnacentral:lncRNA from 1 species
UCCUAUGAACCUGCCCGUUAAUUCCUCUUCUCUAAAUGUCUGCCUUUUUUCUUCGUGUACAAUUCCUUUUUGUCAGUGUAGCAGGAAUAAAUAUCGAUCUCUAUCAACGUUGGUGUAAAAGGACCCUGCCUUUUAGCAGCUCAUUCCGCCCCCAACAAAAGACUACACUUCCCAGCGACCCUUGCAGACCCGAAAAGCCGGUUUCCACACCCCGAGGCUCUCUCAUGCCCUUCUCCCAGUCACUAUGCCUAGCCCCAGAUAACCACUCUUCUGUCCUCUAGCACCUCCAUCACCAGUUCCUGGACUUCAUGAAGGGAUGUGAGGAAACGGAGAAUCGUGGAAAAUUGUCUCCCAACAGCAGCAAGAGGAAAGCAGUUUAUCACACAUGGAAGUGAGAGGUGACAACUCGCUAGCAGCCCUCGCUCUCGGCGCCUCCUCGGCCUCGGCGUUCGAGGAGCCCUUCAGCCUGCCGCUGCACUGUGGGGGCCCCUCUCUGGGGCUGGUCGAGGCGGAGCCGGCUCCCUCUGUUGGCGGGGAGAUGUGGAGGUAGAGGCACAGGUGGGAGCCGGGGCCGCGAGCGGUACUCGCUGGACGGCGCGGGUUCCGGUUGGGCGUGGGCUCCGCGGGCGGCCGGCCGGCACCUGCUAGGCUUGAUCGGGGGACAAGCUCCCUCUGGGAUGCUGGAGUGCACGGGCUAGGUGCUGCAAAGUCCUG